CAUAAUCAUAGUUAAUUAUAUUAUAUUAAAUAAAAAUAAUAUAAUGUAAUGAAUGAUAGCAUUACGUAUAAAGGUAUUACGGUACAGCGCUGUGCCCCAGCCCGCACAGGCACCUGGACAAGGCCGUCACGGUAACGGGGGAAGCUGUGGAGAGACCUCCCUCCCCCCUCCACUAAACGGCGACUUUAGUUUGAUUUGUCCCUAGCAGGCUCCCGUGAGUCGUCCUUCCUUGAGGCACCUCCUCAAAAGCACUCGGAUAGAUUUGUGGCGGGUGACGUCAGGGGCAGUGUGAAAAACCGUGAGCCGGGUUUGCCACUGCGCAUGCUCGGAGAGCUCAGCCCAGCCUGGUGUGACCUCCGGAAACACUUGAGGGGAAGCUUCCGGAAAGGCGUUCGGCGCAUGCGCUGUGGCUAUUCGCGAAGGACGCCGCGGCAGUUGCUGGGAUAUAACCGCCGCCGCCCCUCCCCCCCGGCGCUGUGGAGUCGCCCCCGGCCCCGGCGCGGCGGGGGCACCAUGUGCGCCGCCAAGCGGGUUCAGGACGGGUGGCCGCAGCGCUGGGCCUUCCGGCCCGGCCCAGGUAACGCGGGCCCCGGAGGAGGUGGCGCACGGCGCCUCUCCGUGACCCCCGCAGGCUUCGGGGACCUGCAGCCGCUGCUGCCGCGGGGCCCGCGCUGGCCGCCUGGCCCCGUGCCCCUGCUGCGCUGCGGCUUCCCGCCGCCGCGGCCGAGCCUCAGGCCCUCGGGUCCGCGCGGGGCCGGCGCUGGUGGGAGGGCCGGGGCUGGAGCCGGGACCGGCGGCGACGCGGCCGCGAGGAAGCGCAAGGAGCCCGGUACGGUGGCGGCGGUGGGGGCGGCUAAGGUGGCCAAGCCAGCAGCUGACAGCAACCCAGCGCUGUUGGAGGCCUUCAAGGCCGUGGUGGCAGCUGGCGGCAGCGACUGGCUGGACCCCGAGGCUGUGGCUGCCGUGGUCACUGGAGACCCCCCAGACGGCGCUACCAAGCGUGAGAAGAAAGUGCCUGAGAGCCCGAAGGCGGCAGAGCCUGAGGUGGCCGCACCCAACCCGGGGCCACCUGCCUCUCCCACACCCCAACCCAGCACCGAGGCCAGUGCCACGGAGUCGCCGCCUGUGCUCCAGCCGGAUCCCAGCUUCGGCAGCGUGGCGCUGGGUGAUGGUAGCUUGCUGCAGGCUGACCCCAAGGAAAUAUGGAUUUUUGGCCACUCUGUGAUUUCGGCGGUAAAGAAGAGGGCAAACAAUCAUCCCUGUGGUCUGCAGUUGGCUUUCCCGAUUACAAGUGUAUUUGUGUAUUGGCAUGACGUACAGGAAAUGCUGUGGGAUCAGCUCGUGCCUCUCCUGCACGAAGUGUAUUUCCUCAGAACGUCUCCAUCUGUUUUGGGUCACUACCUGCAGCUACUCCUGGUGAUACUGUUGGGGCCCUGAGGUCACUGCCUGAGACUACAGCUCAGUGAGGAACUGGACUGUGGAAGUUAGAAGAGUAAGGAGAUGUUUGCAGAUGUGGCUGUAUCUUUGGAAAGGAGAGCAAUUGAAGCGGAGGACUGGUGUGCCUGGUUGGAGUCCUGCCAAGACAGUAGUGCUGACCUGGUCAGACUGGGGAACAUCAUGGGUCAGUCAUGCAGCGACUAUUUUUCUGAGGCCACCAAAGAGGCUGUGGAGAUACUGAUGAGGAAACACCACAGUCUUACAGCCACCCCCAUCUGACAAAUGGAGAGCAUCUCAGCAGUGUUCUGUUCUUCUUAUAGGUUCAGGACUCCUGGCCUCUUCCCCCAUACCCCAGUUGUCCCUCUCCAUCCCCACUUCCCCCUGCUGUCCUGGGCACAUCACAAACAGAUUAUGACUCUUCCCUCCUCGAGCAUAGUCUGUCCACCCUGCCCUAUCGUGCCCCCACUGGACUUUACUGUAAAGUCCAUAGCCCCCUCUUCAGUAUGGAUGGGAGCUGGGGAGCAUUGUCUGUCUAGGAGGAGUUGAGGAUGGAUGGUUUUUGUUUUUGUUUUUUUUUGCGGGGGGGGGGGCAGAUACAGCUCGGUUUUAACCUCAAAAGUUCUUAGCCAGUCCCCAUCCAGGGAAAGCAACAUGGGGUGGGAUUUCAUGGUACGAUACUGCCCACCCCCUCUAUUCCCAUGGACCCUUCCUCCUCCACUGGGAUAUGGCAAUCCUGGCUACAUAGGGCUUGGCCCCUUAGGUACCUUCCCCUUUUCCUUAAGCUUGCAAACAAACCCUAGCCCACUCCACUGCACCCUACUUCAUGUGCAAAGCACUUUGUUUCAAGAGCAAAGCAUACAUUGGUUGACUGUUUAUAGUGUUUAAUAAAAAUCUUAAAACAAACUGUCA
ensembl:lncRNA